AUCCAGCUGAUGAGUGAAAAAUAGGACGAAAUGCGCGUCCUGGCU
rnacentral:hammerhead_ribozyme from 1 species